AGGUGGUAUGACAAAGGACCUUGUCAUUCCAGCGAUGCCUUCCAUUGGACGAAUACCCUCCUCUCCUAUCAUUGUGAUAUACAGCGCUCCUGCAGCUCCGACUUCGUCACUCUCCCCUGCACCUUCUCUGCCAAAGGCCUUGAAAGAUCGCAAGUGGCGGCAUGCUAUGUUCGAAGAGUUCAUUGCAUUGGUUAAACAUGGUAUAUAGGAACUGGUUCCAUUGUGCUUUAAAAUCAAACCUGUUGACUGCAAAUGAGUUUUCUGCAUCAAACGGAAUCUUUAUGGUAGUAUUUCUCAUUAUAAAGCCCAAUUAGUGGCCAAGAGUUUUCAUCAACGGCCUGGCUUUGACUAUAAUAGACGUUCAGCCUUGCUGUGAAGCCAAUAACUAUUUGGGUUGUCCUCUCCAUUGCUGCUUAGAAAAAUUGGCCUCUUCACCAGCUGGAUGUUAAUAAUGCGUUUCUCCAUGACCACCUUCAGGGGGAUGUAUUCAUGGUUCAACCUCCAGGUUUUGUUGAUCCUAAUUUGCAUUCUUAUGUUUACAGGUUAAAUUGGUCUUUGCAUGACUUGAAAAUAGCACCUUGUGCUUGGUAUUAAGAAUUGAGUGCUUGUCUUCUUCAACUCAAUUUUCAAAAGUUUAAAUCUGAUUCUUCUCUAUUUAUCUACAUGAGUGCUGAUGUUACUAUCUAUUUUUUGGUAUAUGUCGAUGAUCUCUUAAUCACUGGGAGUAACUCUGGUGCUAUUUCUAAGGUUGUUCAAUAGCUCGAUCGUCGAUUUUCUCUGAAAGAUCUUGGUCCCUUGCAUUACUUUCUUGGUGUUGAGGUGAUUUCAAUUCCCCAUGGAUUGUUCCUAUCCCAAGAAAAGUAUAUUCGGGAUCUCCUUUCUCGCACUAAGAUGGAUGGUGCUAAGACAAUGAUUACUCCACUUGCCACAAAGGAUCUUCUUUAGCUCCAAGAUGACUCUUCUCCUGCUGAUCCAACUGAAUUUCGUCUAUUUAUAGCAACUCUUCAAUAUCUUUCUCUAACCAGACAUUGCCUUCUCGGUCAAUAAGAUGACUCAACUCAGACAUAAACCAUUUCAGCUCCUUUGGACCAUUGCCAAGCGUAUUCGGCUAUACUUGAAAGGUACUCUUCAUCAUGACAUCCUCCUCAAGUGCACUGAGAAUCUCACUCUUCAAGGGUUUUCGGAUGCUAAUUGGGCCGAUGAUAGGGAUACCAAAUCCUCCACCUCUACCUAUCUUAUUUUUUUGGGUGAUUGUCCCAUUUCAUGGAACACGCGCAAGCAGUGUGCUGUGGCUCGUUUCUCCACUAAGGCGGAAUAUCAGACUCUUACUUUACCCACCUCCGAGCUUGUUUGAAUUUUCUCCUUGUUUUAAGAACUUGGUAUUCUGAUUCCUAAGCCCCUACAUCUAUUUUAUGAUAAUAUUGGUGCUUGUCAAUUGAGUCUUAACCUUGUUAUGCAUUCACGAAUGAAGCAUAUCGCUAUUGAUCUUCAUUUUAUUCGUGAUUUGGUUGCAAAAGUUUUGUUACAAAUCUCUUAUGUUAGCACCCAUGAUCAACUUGUCGAUCUCUUAGUUAAGGCUCUAUUCCGUCACAAUUUCACUCUAUGUGCUCCAAGAUUGGAUUAACUGAUGGCACGCCUAUCUUGUGGGGGCGUAUUAAGGAAAUUUAUAGAGAAUCCUAGCAGUUGAAGAUUUGCGAAUAUUUGAUUGUAUGCAUGGAUCUGGGAUUCUUCAUAUUGUAUUAUUUGAAUAUCUGUUUGUAUUUGAUAGUCUAGUUACUUCUUGAUUUAGUAUUUAAAUACUUUUGAAUUUGUAUUUGAAUUUAAUAGUCUAGAAUCUCUUUGAUUUAGUAUUUAAAUACUUUUGAAUUUGUAACAAACUAUAUCUUGUACAAGUCCUAUAUAUAUGACACCUCUACAUCAAUGAAAGUGUCUUACAUUUUCUAUAA